UAAUGACAAAUACUGAUAAAUAUAAUACUAAAAUGUAUUCCUGUGAUCAAAGCUGAAUUUUCAGCAUCAUUUAGAAAUCAAACUGAUAAGCUAAUUUAUUAUUAAUUUUGGAAACCGUUGUGCUGCUUAAUAUUUUUUUAUUACCUGUGAUACUUUUUUCAGGAAGCACAGUAUUUAUUUCAAAUAUAAAUCAUAUUUUAACAAUACACUUCCAUUAAAAAAUUUGGGGUCAGUAAUUUUUUUUUUUAAAUAAAUUAAUAACUUUAUUCAAUAAAGAUGUUAAAUUAAUAAAAAGUAAUAGUAAAAACAUAUAUUGUUAAAAAAACUUUCUAUUUUGAAUAAAUGCUGUUCUUUUUAAGUUUAUAUUCAUCAAUAAAUCCUGAAAAAAGUAUCACAGAUUCCAAAAAUAUUUAAAAUGUAAUAUUUUUUAAUUUGUAUUAGUUUGCAUGCAUGUCAGCUUACGAUCAUACAAAAUGUUUGUAUUAUGUUUGUGUGAGAGACAGUUUCUAUAAAUUUCCCCAAAUUUCCAAUUAAUUCCCAUAAAUUCCUGGUAAGUUUCCAAUUUGGAAUGUUUCCAAAAUUCCCCAGAUGAAGUUCCCUUGGAAAGUUUUCGGAAAUUUUCCGCCCUUUGCAACCCUACAGAGGAAGUGAAUCAGAUAAAGGCUUAUUAUUCUCAGGGAUCUGAGAACCGGUCUUUCCCACCUGCAGGUCUUAUGUCUGGCUCGAUGUGGUCUGACCGACCUGGAGGGGAUUUCUGCUCUUUCCUCCUUAAAGCCCUUUGCUGGCAGAUACAGACACAGAUAAAUACAAACAAGCAGCUUUUGAAGAUGCUUUGAGCAGCGCUCCAUGUGUUUAAGAAGCAGUCUCUCCAUCAGAAGAGAGCUCUGUCAGACCCACGAGUCUCUCCAGACAGCGCCAGACCUCUCUCUUCCUGCAGCGGAUCAAGACCAGGGUCCUCCGGCUCCGACAUCGCCGUCCUGAACCACGAGGCAGUGAUCUGACCAACGGUAAACUCCUGCUGCACACUCUUCAUGUGAGUGAGAAACUACAGAAAUAAUCACAGCGUGGCUUCAAAUCAAGCAGUUAAGAACGCUGUAAAUAUUAGUAUCAUAAUUUGACAGUUAUACUGUAAAAAAUAAAUUAUUAUAUUUUAAUAAAUACUCAUUUUUACAAAGAAAUAAUACAGUAGUAAUAUUUAUUUUGUUUAAUGUUUUUAAUAAUAAUAACA
rnacentral:lncRNA from 1 species